GUACAGUAUUGAUCCUGGCUCAGGAGGUCCUAUAAGGUAACCAGUAUUGGAUCCCCUAAAGUUUGAUCCUGGCUCAGAAAGGCUGAACAAGGUAAACGGAUUUGGUUCCCCUAAAGUUUUAUCCUGGGUCCCUAAGGGAUCUAAAAGAAACCCUGGUUGUUUCCUCUUUAAUUUUUUCCCCCGCCCCGGAAUACUUAUGGGCCACCGAGGCGACAAACCCCUGCAAUUUUACCUACCUGAUCAGUCACACUGAAACUGAAACACGGACCAGACUCCUACGGGAGGCACCAGUGGGGAAUAUUGGACAAUGAUCUAAAGCCUGAGCCAACCGUGCGGCGGGUGUGAACAACGUCUUCGAAUUAUGGUUUCUUUUCGUUUGGCUCUAUUGGUAGGAAAUAAAAAACUUGCUGUUUUGAGUUCACCAACAGAAAAAACCCCGUCUAACUUCCUGCCAUAACCCGCGGUAAUCCGCAGGGGGCAAACGUUAAUCGCAAUUAUUGUCCGUAAAUAGCGCGUAUGUGGUUCGGCAAGUUGGUUGUUAAAGCCUCAGGCUCAACCUCGGAAUUGCCCCGUGGACUACUGAUCUAGACUACAGAACAUGGUGGUGGAAUUACCUGGUUAAAUUCAAGUGUGCAGAUAUAAUACGCAAAAAUAGGGAGGAACGCCACUUCCUUGGACUGACUUUUUGGCUUGUGUGCGACAUCGAUGGGGAGAAAACAAGAAAUAUACCCUGGUAGUCUACCCCGGAAACCCCCGCCCACAAACAAUUAGGAUCCUUGGUAUGUAGUGGCCCCCCCCUAAGGUGAGAAACCAACCCAUGAAGAGACCGCCGGGUCGGGACUUUCUUUAAUAUUAGUUAGAGUGUUAAGAGGGGAAGGGGGGUCGACUUCCUUGCGAGGCGGAGACUCGCAUAAUUAGAGGAAGGCCCGGGGGAAGGAGGGCGUCCUGUCGGUAUUAUACUGCAUUGAGGUAAGAGUGGGGGGGGAGCAAGCUUGAUUAAAUUCCUUGGUCGUCCACUCCAUAAAGAAUGUUGAGUAUUAGGGGGAUCCGCCACUUUUAGUGGAGCAGAUACCGUAAGAAGUCGACCCCCUGGGGAGGACGGCCAGAAGGUAAAAAAAAAAAAUAAACGGGGGGGCCCCCCACAAGUGGUGGAGCUUGUGUUUUAAUUAGCAACAACGAGAACAACCUCCCCUCUCCACAUCAUUCAAAAAACUUUCCAAUAAAGCCUUGGUGCUUUCGGGAAAUUUAACCCAGGUGUGCCAUGGCUGUGUUCAGCUCGUUUCGUGAGAGGUGGGGUAAAGUCCCGUAACGAGCGCAACCCUUGUCCUUAGAUACCGGCACUUCGGGGGGGCACUCUAAGGAGACUGCCGGUGACAAACCGGAGGAAGGUGGGGAUGUUCAAGAGUCAUCAUGGGCCUUACGGCCAGGGUUACACACGAGCUACAAUGGUCGUUACAGGGGGUUGACAAGCCCCGAGGGGGGGGUAAAAACGUAAACCCUAUGGGAGUCCGGAAAGCUGUCCCCAGCUCGAGAAAGUGAAAACAAGGUAACCAGUAAUGGUUCCUCCAAAGUUUGCCCCGGGCUCAGAAAGUGGCAACAAGGUAACCAGUAUUGGCUCCUUUAGAGUUUGACCCCGGCUCAGUAAGUCGUAACAAGGUAACCAGUAUGGUCCUCUAGAUU
rnacentral:rRNA from 1 species